GAGGCACUACGGUGCUGAAGUGAUAAAUGCCCUGCUUCCAGGAAAAGCCUCUAAGCAUCAGGUAACACGAAAUCGUACCCCAAACCGACACAGGUGGUCAGGUAGAGAAUACCAAGGCGCUUGAGAGAACUCGGGUGAAGGAACUAGGCAAAAUGGUGCCGUAACUUCGGGAGAAGGCACGCUGAUAUGUAGGUGAAGCCCCUGCGGGCGGAGCUGAAAUCAGUCGAAGAUACCAGCUGGCUGCAACUGUUUAUUAAAAACACAGCACUGUGCAAACACGAAAGUGGACGUAUACGGUGUGACGCCUGCCCGGUGCCGGAAGGUUAAUUGAUGGGGUUAGCGGCAACGCGAAGCUCUUGAUCGAAGCCCCGGUAAACGGCGGCCGUAACUAUAACGGUCCUAAGGUAGCGAAAUUCCUUGUCGGGUAAGUUCCGACCUGCACGAAUGGCGUAAUGAUGGCCAGGCUGUCUCCACCCGAGACUCAGUGAAAUUGAACUCGCUGUGAAGAUGCAGUGUACCCGCGGCAAGACGGAAAGACCCCGUGAACCUUUACUAUAGCUUGACACUGAACACUGGUCCUUGAUGUGUAGGAUAGGUGGGAGGCUUUGAAGCGUGGACGCCAGUCUGCGUGGAGCCAACCUUGAAAUACCACCCUUUAAUGGCUGGUGUUCUAACGUAGACCCGUAAUCCGGGUUGCGGACAGUGUCUGGUGGGUAGUUUGACUGGGGCGGUCUCCUCCCAAAGAGUAACGGAGGAGCACGAAGGUUGGCUAAUCCUGGUCGGACAUCAGGAGGUUAGUGCAAUGGCAUAAGCCAGCUUGACUGCGAGCGUGACGGCGCGAGCAGGUGCGAAAGCAGGUCAUAGUGAUCCGGUGGUUCUGAAUGGAAGGGCCAUCGCUCAACGGAUAAAAGGUACUCCGGGGAUAACAGGCUGAUACCGCCCAAGAGUUCAUAUCGACGGCGGUGUUUGGCACCUCGAUGUCGGCUCAUCACAUCCUGGGGCUGAAGUAGGUCCCAAGGGUAUGGCUGUUCGCCAUUUAAAGUGGUACGCGAGCUGGGUUUAGAACGUCGUGAGACAGUUCGGUCCCUAUCUGCCGUGGGCGCUGGAGAAUUGAGGGGGGCUGCUCCUAGUACGAGAGGACCGGAGUGGACGCAUCACUGGUGUUCGGGUUGUCAUGCCAAUGGCACU
rnacentral:rRNA from 1 species